AUCGCUUCUCGGCCUUUUGGCUAAGAUCAAGUGUAAUUAUCUGUUCUUAUCAGUUUAAAAUCUGAUACGUCCUCUAUCGAGGACCAUAUAUUAAGUUGAUUUUGGGUUUGGGAGAUGGAGCAAGGGCUUGCACUCUCCACUUCCACGCAAUCGACCUGGUAUUGCAGUACCUCUGGGAGCGGUGCACUCUUA